UGCGGGCGUGUGAGUGUGUGUGUGUGAGUGUGUGUCGCUCCGAGUCCACGCUCAUGCACACACCCACACGCCCUCACG
rnacentral:pre_miRNA from 1 species